rnacentral:lncRNA from 1 species
CCUUUUCUUUUUACUUUUGAAAAAACUAUCAGAAAAUUUUUCUCUCUCCAUUAAAUGUAGCUAACACCAUUUAGGAACACUAAGGUGGUAGGUAAUAUGUCAAGUGACUUAUCACAUUGUUUUAAUUUGUCAGUGCAAAUGCCAUGUCAGCAACACAUCAGGGCCAAUUCCAACAAUUUUGUUUACAAGUAGACCGUCAUUUCUCCAUCUUCAUCUUCAACCUGUUUCGAAUAUAAAAAGCUUCAGAUAUGUUGAAAGCUAAUAGUAACACAACUAUGGAUGUUGUUAACCCAGAGGUUUCUAUUACAUGCAUAAUUUGUCUCAUGUGAGAAACACCUUCCACCUUGCUUUAUUAUGCACUAGGUGCCUCACAUCUGAAAAGCUAGCCAAGUGUGAAGCUUCUAGAGUUUUUGACUCCCCGAAUUAUUCCAAAGAAGUCAUGUUUAGCUCUACCAAAGCCCAUUGACUAUGUCUAAUUUGUGAUUGACAAAGGACACCUGGGGCAACAAUUGUCGUUCAACUAGAGAAAUAUUCUUCUGAUACUUAAUGGUU